rnacentral:rRNA from 1 species
UACAGAGGGUGCGAGCGUUAAUCGGAAUUACUGGGCGUAAAGCGUGCGCAGGCGGUUGGUUAAGUCUGAUGUGAAAGCCCCGGGCUCAACCUGGGAAUGGCAUUGGAAACUGGCUGGCUAGAGUGUGGCAGAGGGGGGUGGAAUUCCGCGUGUAGCAGUGAAAUGCGUAGAGAUGCGGAGGAACACCGAUGGCGAAGGCAGCCCCCUGGGCUAGCACUGACGCUCAGGCACGAAAGCGUGGGGAGCAAACAGG